AAAGACACCAUUGUUGGGCUAAAUGCUUCCUAAGAAAUGGAUUAGCUAAGUGGCUCUGGCUCAGGGACUCUCAGGAGACUUCAGUCAAGAUGUCAGCUGAGUCUACAGUCAUCUGAAGGCUUGACUGGGGCUGGAGAAUCUGCUUCCAAGAUGGUGCACUCACAUGGCUGGAAUGUCGGUGCCUCAGUUCCUCUCCAGUGGGACUCUCCAAAGGGCUGCUUGAGUGUCCUCACAACACGGCAGCUGGCUUCUCCCAGAACAAGUGAUCCAAGAGGGCAAGGCAGAAGCAGCAAUGUUUCUUAUGACCUAGCACAGGAAGUCACAUAUUAUCAGUUAUGCCUUAUUUUAUUAGUCACAUCAUUCAAUCCUGAUAUGCUGUGGCAAAGGACUGCACAAGGGUGUGAAUACCAGGAGGAGCACUGGGAGCCAUCUUGGAGACUGGUUGCCACAAAUUAUUAACAUAAAUUGCAGACGAAUUAUUUAACAAGAGGGAAUUGGAUUAAAUACCUCUCUAUUCUGGCAAUCAACAUCUGACUACUACCAUUAUUUAAAAAAUUCCAAAUGAGUAAAGCCAAAUUAAGAAUUUGAGCUCUUUCAGGGGGAAAGAUUUAUGAUCAACGUCAAGAUGGAUCAUUAGCACAGGACUAUGGAAGGCCAUGUAUAAUGUGCUUG
rnacentral:lncRNA from 1 species